GGGGGGAUAAGCAGAUACCACAUGGUGUGUUGGACUGAGAUCUGUAAGCCUUGGGACCAGGGUGGGCUAGGCAUCAUGUCAUCGAAACAGAUGAACAUUGCCCUCCCGACUUGGUGGCUCUAGCGGAUCGCUAAUGGCGAAGGUGGCCUGUGGCUUCACAUUAUCCAGAAUAAGUAUCUCCGUGGCCAGCCGCUUGCUUUCUGCCAACGAUCCAAAGGCUCCCAGUUCUGGCAGUCCAUCAUCCAGUUGCUUCUGAUCCUCUGCAUCGGAUCCUCCAUCUUCGUGGGAAUGGGCUCAGACACUCUCUUCUGGUUCGAUAGGUGGGCUGGCGAUGCCCCCUUCACGGCUCACUUCCCAGACCUGUUCUCCAUCGUGGUAGACCAUCGGGUCUCCGUGGAGGCAGCUCUUCUUGAUUUAUGGUGCCUCGCGUUCCGUCAACCUUUUGGGCCUCCGGAAUUUCUAGCCUGGCAAGAGCUCCUGGCCGCCGUUGCUCUCCAUGAGCCGGACCUCGACUCGCCAUAG
rnacentral:rRNA from 1 species